AGUGGAUGGGGAGCAACCUAGUUGUGCGUGUGUAAAGGUAGUGCCAAGAAAAGCGAUGAUCAUGUUGAAAAUCAAUUCCCGGUACCCGAAACCGACACAGGUGGGCAAGUAGAGAAUACUAAGGGGCGCGAGGUAACUCUCUCCAAGGAACUCGGCAAAAUGACCCCGUAACUUAGGGAGAAGGGGUGCCACCGAGAGGUGGUCGCAGUGAAGAGGCCCAGGCGACUGUUUAGCAAAAACAUAGGUCUCUGCAAACUCGAAAGAGGAGGUAUAGGGGCUGACGCCUGCCCAGUGCCGGAAGGUUAAAGAAGUUGGUCAGUUUUAGGAUGAAGCUAGCGACUGAAGCCCCGGUGAACGGCGGCCGUAACUAUAACGGUCCUAAGGUAGCGAAAUUCCUCGUCGGGUAAGUUCCGACCCGCACGAAAGGCGUAACGAUCUGGGCACUGUCUCGGAGAGAGGCUCGGCGAAAUAGGAUUGUCUGUGAAGAUACGGACUACCUGCAUUUGGACAGAAAGACACUAUGAAGCUUUACUAUAGCUUGGAAUUGUGUUCGGGCUUCCUGUGCGCAGGAUAGGUGGGAGGCGUAGAAGGUAUUCUUGUGGGGAUACUGGAGCCAACGGUGAGAUACCACUCUCAGGAGGCUAGAAUUCUAACUUAAUUAAGGACAGUUUCAGGUGGGUAGUUUGACUGGGGCGGUCGCCUCCAAAAAGGUAACGGAGGCGUACAAAGGUUCCCUCAGACUGGUUGGAAAUCAGUCGAAGAGUGCAAAGGUGGAAGGGAGCUUGACUGCGAGAAGUACAGUUCGAGCAGGGUGGAAACACGGUCUUAGUGAUCCGACGGUGCUGUGUGGAAGGGCCGUCGCUCAACGGAUAAAAGUUACUCUAGGAUAACAGGCUGAUCUCCCCCAAGAGUUCACAUCGACGGGGAGGUUUGGCACCUCGAUGUCGGCUCAUCGCAACCUGGGGCGGAAGUACGUCCCAAGGGUUGGGCUGUUCGCCCAUUAAAGCGGUACGUGAGCUGGGUUCAGAACGUCGUGAGACAGUUCGGUCCAUAUCCGAUGUAGGCGUGAGAAUAUUGAGAGGAGCCUUCCUUAGUACGAGAGGACUGGGAAGGACGCACCGCUGGUGUACCUGUUAUGAUGCCAAUUGUAAACGCAGGGUAGCCAAGUGCGGAGAGGAUAACCGCUGAAAGCAUCUAAGUGGGAAGCCCACCUCAAGAUGAGUGUUCUGGUGUAAGGUCACGGGAAGACGACCCGUAAAUAGGCACGAGGUGGAAGUGCAGAGAUGUAUGAAGCCGAAGUGUACUAAUAGACCGUCGGCUUGACC
rnacentral:rRNA from 1 species